AACGGGAGAUGUGGAUUGCAGCAGCAAUACUUGGAAAAUAAAGAAGAAGUGAAGCAAUUAUGUUACCUAUUAUUUUUUUAUAAAGACAGAAGGAACGUGGAAGAAAAAUAAAUUUUGUCCAGCAUGUGAAAACAAAGAAAUAGAAUGGAAGAAGGGCUGCUACUUUUCAUGCGCCCGAAACCAGCCACCUCAUCAUCAUAGCAUGUUGCAUUGGAGCUCUGCUGGAGUUUGCUGAUGACAGGAUGCUGAAGGGCUGAAGCUGGUAGCUCUGGCAGGAGUCUAGUGUCCACCAGCUCAAGAUCCGACGCCGCCGCGUCGCCGCCGUGCGGCACUCCGCGGAGACGGGGACGGCGGUCAUGAUUGAAGACACCGCAUUUCCCGCCUGUACUGUCCGGUCGUAGACUGGUAAUCCCUCCGGUGAGCCGCACACCGUGGAGCUACUGCACCGCGCGUGUCCACCCGCAGCGCAGUGCCAGCAACAGUGCCGUGAGUGCGACAUCUGCGUGCAUAUGACGCAGUGCGACUGUCACGACUCGCGGCUCAGUGUUCUGUCAGUGUGACAGUGCGGUUUAGUGUGACAGUGCGGUUUUUUCAAAACGUGCGCUCGCGCUCGUUUUAGCUAGGUGCUCUGUUGUAUAUAACCACCUUGAUGGAGACCUAUCUGCCGCUUGAGUUUCAGUGUACAGUUUUAUGCAUCAAACUAGCGUAAGUAAAUGGCUGUCAGAGGUCAAUUUGAAGCGCAAUUAGUACCCAUAACCCAGCUGGGUUGAGCGAGUCAUGUGACUAGUCCCGAUGAACGUACUGUUUCGAUGUCGUCAGUCGUAGACUUUUGUAAACCAUUCGUUUCGGAGCUCUGUGUUGUGUUGUUCGGGACCGCAGUUGUUUGAGCAGUUUGCUUUAUGCGUCGUACGCUGACAGAACGCUGGUCGUACA